UGUUUAUUUUUUAAACAUUUAUUAAAAAAAAAAAAAAAAAAGAAAACCAAGUCCAAUGGUAAAGGUAGAUAGAGAACCACAGCAAGGAAACCGGACUCUCCAGGAUUCAGACCUUCAAAAAUGAAGGCGUGUAGACUCCAAGGGGAGAGAACUCAGACUUGCUGUGGUUCCCAGAGAUGAGAAGACACAGAACUGGAAGUGGAAGAAGGAAGUCACAGAUACCAGUUCCUGCCUGUGACCAAUAACAGAAAAAGGACUUUAAUAGCUUUGCGUAUUUUCCCUUUCUUGUCAUGUAAACAUUUAUAAUCUGUUUUCUUUCUCUCUUCUUACCCUUGUGAUUUUAUUCAAGUUGUCAGUGAUUGUAUUUAAAAUAUAACCUCUAGGUACCAAAAUAGUCACAGGGAUUGUGGCUGAACUUGAAUAUACCAGUAUUGGAUUCAAUGACUGGGAUUGCCUGUCCCAUUUUGGGGAAAGAGUGAAAACUUCUUCACUUGUAAGUGCAGCUUUGUAGAUGGGUGAAAAUGUGUAGUUGUUUUGUUGUUAUGUAGAAAUUCCAAUGUGGGUAAAAUGGUGUGUACGGAAGCUGAGUAACUAAAGGUAUGGACUGUGCCCAUUAUCAAUUUAUUGCCUGUGGAUUAAAAUCUACCCUGUGUUUGUCUUACUUGGUUGAUACUGGAACAGGAUCUCAUAAAAAUUUCUUUUUUGCCUUUGUAGAAAGGCUUUUUUUUUUUUUUUUGCCAUAAAGUGUCUUUUUUCUUUCUUCCGCACUCUUAGCCUUUGUCGGUACAGUGCACCAGAUGGGGUACCACAAGACAUAGCAGAGGAAAAAGCUUUCUUCUUGUUCUGUUGUUUUUUUCCUUAAUCUUACAGUGCUACUGCCAGUGGCCAUGAGAAUACUAGCUUCUCUCACCUUUUGGUGAGCAAGUAUGGCAUUGCAGCGGGCUGCAUUCCAGAGGGCUGCUUCCCAGGGAAUCCUGCCUCUUCCGUUGUGGGAGGUUUCCUGACCAGCAGGCGUGGCCUUGGCAUGUUGGGGGACUUCUUGCCUUUCCUGGGAACCCCAGUCCCCCCUUCUCCUAUAAACAUAACGUCAGUCUCUUCCUGUCCCAGAUGUCCUCCUUCUUUGGGUCCUCUACCUCAGCCUUAGAGGUAGUGUCUGCUUCCUGUAUCGCCUAUUUCCAGUUUCCUUAGAGCUUUCUUUUACUUCUUUCAUAGUUAAACACAUUUUGCUAGUUAAUAAUUCCUUAUAUAACUGCUGUGCUUUCUGCCUCCUGAUUGGACAGACAGCAACAUUUAAAUUGAAUUGUAUCUUGGGUUGAGGGCACUGUGCUGCUCACAGUAGGUGAGAAAGGGUAGUGGAAGAAUGUUCAAAUGUAUUAUAAUGGUUCGAACCAACAAUAAAAGUCAUAAAUAUA